rnacentral:rRNA from 1 species
GACGAACGCUGGCGGCGUGCUUAACACAUGCAAGUCGAACGGAAAGGCCCUGCUUUUGUGGGUUGCUUGAUUGGCGAACGGGUGAGUAACAUGUGAGUUACCUUCCCUUGACUUUGGGAUAACUUCAGUAAACUGUGGCUAAUACCGGAUAGGAGCUCCUGCUGCCAUUUGGUGGUUGGAAAGUUUCGGCGUCUUGUGAUGGACUCGCGGCUUUUCAUCUUGUUGGUGGGGUAGUGGCUUACCAACGUUUGGACGGGUAGCCGGCCUGAGAGGUUAACCGGCCUCAUUGGGACUGAGAUACGGCCCAGUCUCCUACGGGAGGCAGCAGUGGGGAAUAUUGCACGAUAAGAGGAGGCCAGAUGCAGCAACGACGCGUGCGGGAUGACGGCCUUCGCGUUGUAAACCGCUUCCGCCUGUGACGAAGAGUGAGUGACGGUAAUGGGUAAUGAAGCACCGGCUAACUACGUG